ACUUAGCUUUCACCUUAAUAAUAUUAAUAAAAGAGUUAUUAAAUAUUAUCUUAGGUUAUAUAUUCAAGAGUGAUAAUGGAUAAAUUUAAAGAAGGGAAGAUUUCCAAUGUUGGUAAUUGGUAUUGAGCUGUAAACUCAAUGAUUAAAUUCUUCGUGUGUUCAAUUCACACUCUUCUCAAUAUUAUUGGCUCCCUCCUAGCUUAAGUGAGUAGGAUAUAAUAAAGAGAGAAAUAUUAAUAAAGGGAGAGAAAGAAUGUUUCUAUAGCUUAAUCGGUAAAGCAUUACACUGUUAAUGUAUGGAAUUGGGUUCGAUUCCCAAUGGAGACUAAAAGUAUUUAAAGUUUAAUUGAAAUAAAGAGAAAAAUUAAAGUAGUUUCUAUAGCUUAACCUGGUAGAGCAGUAAACUGAAGAUUUAUGGGUAAAAGUUCAAAUCUUUUUAGAAACAAAAUAAGAGAAAUAGAAUAAAUUUGAAAGAAAAAGAGAAAGAUAAAAGGGAUAAUUAACUUUGAAAGGAAUUUUGCAAAUAACAAAAUGACUACUAAUAGAGAUGGUUAAAAAGUAAAUUAUUAAGCAUAAUUUAUAAAACCAAAGGGAAACCGGAAAGAAAACCAAGUGAACUGAAACAUCUAAGUAGCUUGAGGAAAAGAAAUCAACAGAGAUUUUGUAAGUAUUGGUGAGAGAAAACAAAUGAGGAAUGAUAAGUAAAUUAUUAUUAUAAAAUAAUUGAAAAUGGGACUAACUAGUUCUAAUUCUAAACACUAUUAGUAAGUAAAAAGUAGUACCGAAAGGGAAAAUUCAAAAGAUUAGUUAUUUUAUAAGCAAUUAAAGAUUAUUAAAAAUAAUCAAUAAUGUACCUUUUGUAUAAUGGGUCAAUAAGUUAUAAAGAUUAGCAAAAAAUAAAAUUUUAUAAUGAAAAUGAAGAAUUACAUAAUAAAGUUAAUUUUUAUAUACCCGAAAGUAGAUGAUCUUACCAUAAGCAGGUGACAUAAAAAAUUAUUAUUAUUAUAAUAAAUAAUUAUGAAUCGACCGAACAGGUUAAUGUUGCAAUAUUAUCUGAUGACUUAUGGUAUGAGGAGAAAGUCAAAUCUGAUCUACAAAUAGCUGGUUUUUUGCGAAAUAUAUAUUAGUAUAGCAUCUUUUAAUUUAAUUAAUUAAUAAAUUAAUUAAUAUAUUGUUAAAUCGGUAAAGCAAUUAAUAAUAAUUGGGGUCUGUUAAAGGAUUAUCAAUAUUAUUUAAUCUCAUAAUGAUUCUAACAAUUAAAAAGAUAGUCAGACUAUUAGUGAUAAGGUUGAUAGUCUAAAGGAAAACAGUCCAGAUUAAAAAUUAAGGUUCCAAAAUAUAUCAAUUAGUUAAAUAAUAACUAAUUAAAUCUUAAGUGAAAAGGAUAUCUUUACAUAAUAUACAAUUAGUAGAUAGGUUUGAUAGUAACUAUUCUAUAAUAAACGUGUAUCAACGUACUAAUAAAUUAAAUAUAUAUAUUUAUAUAUAUAUUUUAAGAAAUAUGAAUAAUAUUCUCUGAAUUAUUAAAAGAUAGAUAAUAAUCGGAUCUUAAAGAUAUUACCGAAAUUUUAAUUAUUAAAAUUACUAAUAAUAACUGAUUUUAAUAAGGUAGCAAAACAUUUAAUGAAAAGAGUAUUAUAUAUUAUCAAUAUAAUAUAAAUUAUCCAUAAAUAGAAUAUUUAAAAAAAAUAUAAAGAAAUAAAAAGAUAAUAGUAAUUAAAUAGAGAAUGUUGACAUGAGUAACGAAAAAAUGGUUAAAAAUAAAACCAUUUCACUUUGUAUCUGAGGUUUUAAUAAAAAAUCGGUCCAUAAUUAAAAAAUCCAAUGAUUUAUAAGAUAGGAAAUUAAUAAUUAAUAAUAAAUAACAUUUAUUACAAUAAAAUUUUUUUAUAAAUGUACAGGAAAACAUAUUAAAAGAUACCGUAAUUAGACCGACACAGGUAGAUAAGUAAGAAAUGAAAGUGAAUGGGUUAAUUAUGGUUAAUGAACUCGGCAAAAUAACUUCUAAGUUAGUCUAACGAAGAAAAUUAAAGCAAAAGUUAUACGACUGUUUACUAAAAACACAGCACUUUGCAAAAAUUAAAAAUUAUAGUAUAAAGUGUGAAUUCUGCCCAAUGUUAAAUUAUAAUAAAAUAAAUUAUUAAGGUUUAUUUCUAAAAAUUAAAUAAAUGGCGGCUUUAUUUUUGAGAGUCAUAAUGUAGCGAAAUUCAUUGCCACAUAAUUAUUGGCCUGCAUGAAUGGAGUAACGAUAUAACAACUGUAUCAACCAUAAGCCCAGUGAAAUUGGAAUCGCAGUGAAGAUACUGUGUACCUAAAGGAAGACGAGAAGACCCUAUGCAGCUUUACUAUAAUUAAAAAGGUUGCAUAAAAUAAGUUUAUAUUAAAUUAUAAGAUUAUUUGAUUCAUUAUAUUCUUAUUUUAUUGCUUUUUUGAGAAAUCAAAUUUUAUUAUUAUAAUUAUUUAAAAACCUUCAUAGAAUUUAUAAUUCUAUGAAAAAUUUAUAAUAUAUAAAACUAAAUCAGAUUAUAUAAUAUAAAAUUAUUAUAUUAUAUCAUAUUCAAAUAAGGAUAUGACAAUUAAUUAGUUAUACCGAUUAAUUAAUUGAAUAAUGAUGACAGCCUUUAAUUGAUAGUUUGAAUGGGGUGUUAAUUUCACAAAAAAUAACUGAAUAUGUCCAGUUACAAAAAAAAUGAUAUAAAUUUAAUAAAAUAUUUAUUAAAAUUGUUUAAAUAUCCAAAUUAUUUAAUUAAAAUUUGGUAUUUUUUAGAUUAAAAUAUGUACAGUACAUUUGAAUUGAAAUCAAAUAAAGUUAAAAUUAACUUUGAUUAAUUAAUAUAAUAGUGGAUAACUGUGCUUUAAUUUGACACUAACAAGUGGAAAUGAUACGUAAGUAUGGUAUAAUGAACAGAUUAUUUCGAUAGUAAGAGUAAUCGAUGAACGGAUAAGUUACGCUAGGGAUAACAGGGUAAUAAUAUGAGAGAGUAGAUAUUGUCAAUAUUGUUUGCCACCUCGAUGUCGACUCAACCUAUCCUAUUGGUGUAUCAGCUAAUAAGGGUUAGACUGUUCGUCUAUUAAAAGGUUACGUGAGUUGGGUUUAAUACGUCGUGAGACAGUAUGGUUUCUAUCUUCUUUAGGAAAAUGUCAAUAGAAGAUUAUAACUUAGUACGCAAGGAUUUGUUAUAAUUAAUCAAUGGUUAGACUAUUGCAUUAAAUAAAUCAAUCUAAUUGAUUCAAAAUUAAAAAUAAUAUUUAAUGCAGAGUAGUUAAGCUACAUUAAUCAUUAAGAAAUGUUGAAAGCAUAUCAAAAUAUGAAAUAGACUUCUGGAGACAACAUUAUUAUUCAUAUUUGAAUAAUAAUUAUAUAUUUAUUAUGUUAUACUAACAUAUAAAUAGGUUAAUAAUAAAUUAUUUAUU
rnacentral:sRNA from 1 species